rnacentral:rRNA from 1 species
UACAGAGGUCCCGAGCGUUGUUCGGAUUCACUGGGCGUAAAGGGUGCGUAGGUGGUGAGGAAAGUCGGAUGUGAAAUCUCCAAGCUCAACUUGGAAAUGGCAUUGGAAACUACCUUGCUGGAGGUUUGGAGGGGGGACUGGAAUUCUCGGUGUAGCAGUGAAAUGCGUAGAUAUCGAGAGGAACACCAGUGGCGAAGGCGAGUCCCUGGACAAAACCUGACACUGAGGCACGAAAGCUAGGGGAGCAAACAGG